rnacentral:rRNA from 1 species
UACGUAGGAUGCAAGCGUUGUCCGGAAUUAUUGGGCGUAAAGCGCGUGUAGGCGGUCCGGUAAGUCCGCUGUGAAAGUCGGGGGCUCAACCCUCGGAUGCCGGUGGAUACUGUCGGGCUUGAGUACGGAAGAGGCGAGUGGAAUUCCUGGUGUAGCGGUGAAAUGCGCAGAUAUCAGGAGGAACACCGAUGGCGAAGGCAGGUCUCUGGGCCACUACUGACGCUGAGAAGCGAAAGCAUGGGGAGCGAACAGG